rnacentral:sRNA from 1 species
AUUCUGCCCAUGCGGGGAAGGAUGAGAAGCUUCGACCAAGGUUCGACUCGAGCGCCAGCGAGAGAGCGUUGCCGCAGGCAACGACCCGAAGGGCGAAGCGCGCAGCGCUGAGUAAUCCUUCCCCCCACCACCA